UGUAUAUAUGUCACUUAUAUAUAUAUUUUUUAAAGUCUACAAAAGCUCUACAUUUAUUCCCUUUGUGAUAGAGUUGGAUCCUAUUUGCUACUUUUAUUAUUGUCCUGUAAAUGGUUCAGAUCCUAUAAUUUAGGCUGUGUGUAGAAUGGGGAAUAAAGGAAAUUACCUCUACUAAUAAAUUACUACUAGAUUAUACUGAUAAGGAAAACAGCAUACAAAUUUGGCCUGUGUAUUCAUUUGCCUAUAACUAAUCAUAAUUCCAUUAUUUUUACAUAAAAAAAGAGAAUACUUCAAAAUGAGAAGAUCCUGCCAUGGAAAAGACAACUGGGCAGACAUAAAGUGGAAAGGAGGGGAAAUAACUCACACCAUGCAGCAGGACACCUUCAGCUGUGGGGUCUUUGUAAUGCAGGUUUGAUAGUUAUAUUUUCAAUAAUGAAUGGUUAGCUGUUAUGUGAAAAUUAGGUCAAAAACUCUAUUUUAUUUUUUGGUGUAGAUGGCCAAGGAAGUUGCAGAGAACUUCCCCAACACCCCCUCCCAAAUUGAUAUGGAACCUUCAAAAACGUAGUCCAUUUGCACCUGCGAAAAGAAAUGGCUGAGGAUAUACUAAAAAUGUCUGGUAUGUAAUGACAUUUAAUUAAAAGUAAAUGUAAAUUAUUUAUUUGUAUGUAGUUGUAUGGGACAGCCAUAUGUUCAGUUCAUGCCUAUGAUUUCAGAGUUCAACAAAGCCAACAACUGCUUCAUGUGUGCCACUGAUAAAGAACCUGGAUGUGGCCCAAAGCUGACUGGAUUGAAUGUUUUGCAUGCCAACGGUGGUUCCAUGUGCUGUGCCUAGGAAUGAAGACAAAAUAGUUCAACAAAGUAAAGAACACAAACUGGAAGUGCUGUCUUUGUUGUUGAAAAUGUAUGCUAUACCCCAUCCACACUGAAGAGGCUCUGAAAUGUACAUCAACCAGGGAUAAAGAGAAAGUUAACACUGAAA